CCUACGGGAGGCAGCAGUGAGGAAUAUUGGUCAAUGGCCGGGAGGCUGAACCAGCCAAGUCGCGUGAGGGAAGACGGCCCUACGGGUUGUAAACCUCUUUUGUCAGGGAGCAAGGUUCAGGACGGGACCUGCUUUGAGAGUACCUGAUGAAAAAGCAUCGGCUAACUCCGUGCCAGCAGCCGCGGUAAUACGGAGGAUGCGAGCGUUAUCCGGAUUUACUGGGUGUAAAGGGAGCGUAGACGGCGAUUCAAGUCAGAGGUGAAAGGCUGGGGCCCAACCCCCGUACUGCCGUUGAAACUGUAUGGCUUGAGUGUGGGUGAGGUAAGCGGAAUGCCUAGUGUAGCGGUGAAAUGCGUAGAUAUUAGGAGGAACACCGAUGGCGAAGGCAGCUUACUGGACUGUAACUGACGUUGAGGCUCGAAAGCGUGGGGAGCAAACAGGAUUAGAUACCCCAGUAGUC
rnacentral:rRNA from 1 species